rnacentral:SRP_RNA from 1 species
GACAGGUACAGUGGCACGUGCUUGUAGUCAGCUACUCAGGAGGCUGAGGCAGGAGGAUCACUUGAGCCCAGGAGUCCUGGGCUGUAGUGCCCUAUGCUGAUAGGGUGUUCACACUGAGUUCACAUUAAUAUGGUGACCUCCCAGCAGUGAGGGAUCACCAGGCUGCCUAAGGAGGGGUUAACCUGCCCAGGUCAGAAGCAGAACAAGUGAAAACUCCCAUAUUGAUCAGUAGUGGGAUCAUGCCUGUGCACUCACCACUGCAAUCACCACUGCACUCCAGCCUGGGCAACAUAGCAAGACCCCAUUUCU